GUCUACGGCCAUACCACCCUGAACGCGCCCGAUCUCGUCUGAUCUCGGAAGCUAAGCAGGGUCGGGCCUGGUUAGUACUUGGAUGGGAGACAUAUGUACGUACAGGUGCUUAGCAGCCU
ensembl:rRNA 5S_rRNA 5S ribosomal RNA